GAUGAACGCUGGCGGCGUGCCUAAUACAUGCAAGUCGAGCGAACGGACGAGAAGCUUGCUUUUCUGAUGUUAGCGGCGGACGGGUGAGUAACACGUGGAUAACCUACCUAUAAGACUGGGAUAACUUCGGGAAACCGGAGCUAAUACCGGAUAAUAUUUUGAACCGCAUGGUUCAAAAGUGAAAGACGGUCUUGCUGUCACUUAUAGAUGGAUCCGCGCUGCAUUAGCUAGUUGGUAAGGUAACGGCUUACCAAGGCAACGAUGCAUAGCCGACCUGAGAGGGUGAUCGGCCACACUGGAACUGAGACAUGGUCCAGACUCCUACGGGAGGCAGCAGUAGGGAAUCUUCCGCAAUGGGCGAAAGCCUGACGGAGCAACGCCGCGUGAGUGAUGAAGGUCUUCGGAUCGUAAAACUCUGUUAUUAGGGAAGAACAUAUGUGUAAGUAACUGUGCACAUCUUGACGGUACCUAAUCAGAAAACCACGGCUAACUACGU
rnacentral:rRNA from 1 species